GCCCAGACCCUCGGCCUCGCUGGUGCCCAGAGCACCCAGCUCCUGGUGGAGCCUCCCUGGACGCCGGCGGUGCUGUGGGACCGGGUGACACUGACCUGCCAGGGCUCGGGGACCGCCGGUGCCACCUCCUGGUACAAGGGUGGGUGGCUCUGGCGGAAGAAGGGACCCGAGCGCUUCACUGUCACCGAGAGUGGAACAUAGACGUGUGGCAGACCUGGCACUGGGCUCAGCCCCUCUGUGAGGGUGUUAAAUGAGCGCCUUGUGCUGCAGCUGCCGGCACGGGCGCUGCUGGAGGGGGACACGGUGACACUGCGCUGCCAGGGCUGGCAGGAUGGCACGGUCACUGGAGU